AUGUUGACACACCGAUAAUAAUGCAAAUAUCUGCAAUCACAAUUACACAAAAUGUCUCAAAGCAACAAAGAAAAUGGUUUUCCUCAGUACACAGAGAAAAGAUAAAAAGUACGAAAGAAAAAUACACCCCAUUUACAUGUAAAUUGAUUUUUUUUUGUUGCAGUGAGAAGUCAGCGCAGGAACUAAAUGCAGGACUGAACAAGCAGGAGGUCAGUGCAGAAUACUAAUGAACUUCAUGUCACAAAAACAAAACCUGAGGCGCUGCCAAAGCAGCGAGUCGGCCGACAGAAAACAUGCAACAUGAAGUUAGACGCCUGCAGGAAAACAAGGCUGUGCAGCCAGAAAGAGAGGAUUUUAAAAACCGCUGAACGAGGAACCGGGAGGAUAAAGCAGCGACACCAGGCUCGGUUUGGAGCUCCAAAAUCAGAAGGCAGAAACUGAACAACCACUGCAACAUCACAGCUCACACACAGAGAGAAAGUGCUGCGGGACUCUGCGUGGACCUCCUGCUGCAUCAGAGAACCUACACAUAUUCCCUCUGACUGCACUGUUAAAGCCUGACAUGAGGAGCGAGCAGCUAUGAAACGCACACAGACGUGUCUGUCUUCCCGGAUAAGAAGCAGCCGUCUGCCUGUCAGCGCCGGCGCCUGGACAAGAGACACUUUCUGAAAGUCAAAGACGCAAUCAUGUAAAUCAGGACACAGUUGAGGUCCCCAGCCUGUAGAAUCGGAAAUACAGAAAGAAACAGAGCCAGAUGACAACCAGGGAACAAUUAUUAGGUAACAUGCAGAACAUAAGGACUUCGACACAAUGGCUGUACAGCAACUUCAUACUAAGUGCCAAAAUCGGUUCUCAUUAGCUGCUUUUCGGUUACAAAACUUUGUCUAUAUUCUCACACAUUUUCACAAUUGCGGUAAUGAGAAAGGCCGAUAAAAUCCCACAUGAAUAAGUUUCUUCAUGCAAUAAGUCAUUAAAGAAACAUGAACCUCCAGCUACUUCCUGUUUUCGUCUUUUCCACCAGUAGCAACAUCCGGUUGUUGAUUUGAAAAUAGUUUUUUAUAUAUGUAUAUGUGGGUUUCUGUUAAGCAAAUUUGCCAUCGUAAAUAGCCAAUAAAAAUGCAGAUAACGAUGUAGAUGUGUGAGCAGAAUUGCUUGAUUUUGUUCGCCUGCCAAACUCGACACCAGGCCCAGGUUAAACUAUUUUAUUAUUUAAAGAAUCUUUAUUGAUCAGAUGGGAAGUCUAAAACAAACAAAUGAAGGAGGUAAACAACACUUGCAUGAAAAUACAAAAAUACAACACUUACCAUAUUUUAAAGGUGUUUUAAACGAAUACCUGCUAAAUGAUUGAAUUUAGCACUUUAGUAUGCUAGCAUUAGUUUUCUAUGUUGGUAUAGCAUUUUAGCUUUAGCUGUAGCAGUAGUAAUGUUUAUUGUAGUAUUAAUGCUGCUAACGUUUUUUUCUAAAUAUAUAUUUAUUGUUUUUAACAAACUAUUGUCAACAAAGCAGCAGUCUGGAAAGUUAUCAGGAUACAUUACAUACAAAAAGUUGAUUUAAGGUCAAACUAUUUUAACAGAGCGAAGUCUGAUUGGUCAGACGUUUGUUGCCAUGUUUUAUGCAGAAAUGUGGAUAUUUCACUUCAACUCGUCCGCUUCCACGAUCCGACAUGAAUACUUUUGAGGAACGUUUAUCCGACGUUUCAGGGAAUUAUGCCCAUUUGUACGGUUGUUCACUAAAUAACUACUAUAAUAACA